UACGGAAGGUCCGGGCGUUAUCCGGAUUUAUUGGGUUUAAAGGGAGCGCAGGCGGAAGCUUAAGCGUGACGUGAAAUGUAGGUGCUCAACAUCUGCACUGCGUCGCGAACUGGGUUUCUUGAGAGUACGACGAGGACGGAAUUCGUGGUGUAGCGGUGGAAUGCUUAGAUAUCACGAAGAACCCCGAUUGCGAAGGCAGUCCACGAGUCCUUUACUGACGCUAAAGCUCGAAAGUGCGGGUAUCGAACAG
rnacentral:rRNA from 1 species